rnacentral:rRNA from 1 species
GCAACUCGCCUACAUGAAGUCGGAAUCGCUAGUAAUCGCGGAUCAGCAUGCCGCGGUGAAUACGUUCCCGGGCCUUGUACACACCGCCCGUCACACCAUGAGAGUUUGUAACACCCAAAGCCGGUGGGGUAACCUUUUGGAGCCAGCCGUCUAAGGUGGGACAGAUGAUUGGGGUGAAGUCGUAACAAGGUAAC